rnacentral:rRNA from 1 species
UGAGGAAUAUUGGUCAAUGGGCGAUGGCCUGAACCAGCCAAGUAGCGUGAAGGAUGACUGCCCUAUGGGUUGUAAACUUCUUUUAUAAAGGAAUAAAGUCGGGUAUGCAUACCCGUUUGCAUGUACUUUAUGAAUAAGGAUCGGCUAACUCCGUGCCAGCAGCCGCGGUAAUACGGAGGAUCCGAGCGUUAUCCGGAUUUAUUGGGUUUAAAGGGAGCGUAGAUGGAUGUUUAAGUCAGUUGUGAAAGUUUGCGGCUCAACCGUAAAAUUGCAGUUGAUACUGGAUGUCUUGAGUGCAGUUGAGGCAGGCGGAAUUCGUGGUGUAGCGGUGAAAUGCUUAGAUAUCACGAAGAACUCCGAUUGCGAAGGCAGCCUGCUAAGCUGCAACUGACAUUGAGGCUCGAAAGUGUGGGUAUCAAACAGGAUUAGAUACCCUGGUAGUCCACACGGUAAACGAUGAAUACUCGCUGUUUGCGAUAUACGGCAAGCGGCCAAGCGAAAGCGUUAAGUAUUCCACCUGGGGAGUACGCCGGCAACGGUGAAACUCAAAGGAAUUGACGGGGGCCCGCACAAGCGGAGGAACAUGUGGUUUAAUUCGAUGAUACGCGAGGAACCUUACCCGGGCUUAAAUUGCACUCGAAUGAUCCGGAAACGGUUCAGCUAGCAAUAGCGAGUGUGAAGGUGCUGCAUGGUUGUCGUCAGCUCGUGCCGUGAGGUGUCGGCUUAAGUGCCAUAACGAGCGCAACCCUUGUUGUCAGUUACUAACAGGUGAUGCUGAGGACUCUGACAAGACUGCCAUCGUAAGAUGUGAGGAAGGUGGGGAUGACGUCAAAUCAGCACGGCCCUUACGUCCGGGGCUACACACGUGUUACAAUAGGGGGUACAGAGGGCCGCUACCACGCGAGUGGAUGCCAAUCCCUAAAACCCCUCUCAGUUCGGACUGGAGUCUACAACCCGACUCCACGAAGCUGGAUUCGCUAGUAAUCGCGCAUCAGCCACGGCGCGGUGAAUACGUUCCC